rnacentral:rRNA from 1 species
GAUCAACGCUGGCGGCGUGCAUAACACAUGCAAGUCGAACGAUGAAGAUUAAAAGAUUUCUUCGGAAUGAACUUAAUUGGAUUAGUGGCGGACGGGUGAGUAACGCGUGAGUAACCUGCCUUGUACAAGGGGAUAGCCGUUGGAAACGACGAAUAAUACCCUAUGACAUCAAAUAAUCGCAUGAUAAUUUGAUCAAAGAUUUAUCGGUAUAAGAUGGACUCGCGUCUGAUUAGCUAGUUGGUAGAGUAAAAGCCUACCAAGGCAACGAUCAGUAGCCGGCUUGAGAGAGUGUACGGCCACAUUGGGACUGAGACACGGCCCAGACUCCUACGGGAGGCAGCAGUGGGGAAUUUUGCACAAUGGGGGAAACCCUGAUGCAGCGACGCCGCGUGAUUUAGAAGGCCUUCGGGUUGUAAAAAUCUUUUGUAUGGGAAGAAAAUGACAGUACCAUACGAAUAAGGACCGGCUAAUUACGUG